UAUCAACACCAGAAGUUUAAAAAAUUUAGUAGUUAACUAAUAGUUUUAUUUUAAAUAACUACAAAAUUGUUAUUUCAAUUCAGUUGGGAAAUGCCUUAGUCAUAUGUUCUUUUUAUUUACAGGAAUUUGCAUUGUCAUGUUUCAGAAUACCAUCCCAAAGACUCGCAAAUAAGGGAUGUGCAAGAGGCAGCCUUGGCAAGAAAACUUGCUGCAUAAUCUUCCAUGGACUAAAGAUGAAACUUUAAACCGCAAGUAAGUUUUCCCCCUGCCCUUCUCUUAUUUUGUUCCAAUUUAAGACAGCAGU
rnacentral:lncRNA from 1 species